rnacentral:rRNA from 1 species
GAACGCUGGCGGCGUGCUUAACACAUGCAAGUCGUACGCGAAAGGGACUUCGGUCCCGAGUAAAGUGGCGCACGGGUGAGUAACACGUGGAUGAUCUGCCUCUAUGAUGGGGAUAACAGUUGGAAACGACUGCUAAUACCGAAUACGCUCAUGAUGAACGUUGUGAGGAAAGGUGGCCUCUGCUUGCAAGCUAUCGCAUAGAGAUGAGUCCGCGUCCCAUUAGCUCGUUGGUGGGGUAACGGCCUACCAAGGCAACGAUGGGUAGCCGAUCUGAGAGGAUGAUCGGCCACACUGGAACUGAAACACGGUCCAGACUCCUACGGGAGGCAGCAGUGGGGAAUAUUGCGCAAUGGGCGAAAGCCUGACGCAGCGACGCCGCGUGAGGGAUGAAGGUCUUCGGAUCGUAAACCUCUGUCAGAAGGGAAGAAACUGGGGUGUUCUAAUCAGCAUCCCACUGACGGUACCUUCAAAGGAAGCACCGGCUAACUCCGUGCCAGCAGCCGCGGUAAUACGGAGGGUGCAAGCGUUAAUCGGAAUCACUGGGCGUAAAGCGCACGUAGGCUGUUAUGUAAGUCAGGGGUGAAAGCCCACGGCUCAACCGUGGAACUGCCCUUGAUACUGCACGACUNGAAUCCGGGAGAGGGUGGCGGAAUUCCAGGUGUAGGAGUGAAAUCCGUAGAUAUCUGGAGGAACAUCAGUGGCGAAGGCGGCCACCUGGACCG